ensembl:lncRNA
AGGGUGGAAAAGGCAAAGGGCUCAGUCCUGGAGCACAGAGCUCGAGAUCUGGAGAAGCAGAGAGACCAGACUGACCACAACUGGCAGAUUGAGAGCGAGUGCCAAGAAGUGAAACCAAGAAGUCUGGGGCCAAGAAGUCAUCCCAGCAUAAGCAAAAGGAGUUGCCCGGAACCAACUGACGGAGAGGAAAGGAGGAGCUGAGAGCAUCAGAUUCAGGCAGGCUACUUCUUCAUGAGUCUACCCAUCUCUCACUCUGGGCAGCCAGCACAGCCUAAGCAAAGCCGACAAGUGUGAUGAAACCUACUUCCUACCCUUUGAUUGCGCUGGAUGGCUAACCAAAAGACCAGGACUCUGGUCUCAACCCUGCCAUUGACUCACGGGGUAUCUGGGGCUUGGGUAAGGCUGCUUACAUCUACAGACCUGUUUCUUCAUCUGAUAAAUGAAGUGGUUGGGCAGUUGAUUGAUUGACUUGGAACCUCAUGUCAAGGCUAAGUGAG